UACGGGGGGGGCAAGCGUUGUUCGGAAUUACUGGGCGUAAAGGGCUCGUAGGUGGCCAACUAAGUCAGACGUGAAAUCCCUCAGCUUAACUGGGGAACUGCGUCUGAUACUGGAUGGCUUGAAUCCGGGAGAGGGAUGCGGAAUUCCAGGUGUAGCGGUGAAAUGCGUAGAUAUCUGGAGGAACACCGGUGGCGAAGGCGGCAUCCUGGACCGGCAUUGACGCUGAGGAGCGAAAGCCAGGGGAGCAAACGGGG
rnacentral:rRNA from 1 species